rnacentral:rRNA from 1 species
CGCAGGCUGCAACCCGCCUGCGUGAAGUUGGAAUCGCUAGUAAUCGCGGAUCAGCAUGCCGCGGUGAAUACGUUCCCGGGCCUUGUACACACCGCCCGUCACACCAUGAGAGUCGGGAACACCCGAAGUCCGUAGCCUAACCGCAAGGGGGGCGCGGCCGAAGGUGGGUUCGAUAAUUGGGGUGAAGUCGUAACAAGGUAAC